GCUUUAAUGAAUAAGCUAAGCAAAACCCAUUACUUGUUCAUGUUGAGCAGACCUGGCCAAACCAGCUGUCUGGUUUUCUAACUACAGUAACCUCUAAACUGGCACCUGACAGAUGCAUUUUUAAUCCUGUCUGCUCCUGCAACAGGUGGAACAGUGAUUCAUCAUUCAGAGACAGAGAGGGCAGACUUCCUCUGGCCAUAAUGAAUGGGUCUAAGAUGUUACAGUGUCCUGAAACUGCCUACAGGGUCACAGGAAACUUUGAAUCUGUCCCAGGGGACUUGGGGCACAACUGAACACACAUUCACACACUAUGGACAAUUUAGAGAUGCCAGUCGACCCAGAACCUUGAUCUUUAUACUGGAGGAAGAAACCAGAACACCCAAAGAAAACACCUGCUCACAAAAGGCGGAGGUGUUAAGCAAACAAGCCCCCCCCCAACAUCCCCACUUUCAACUUCUACUGAAUUAUAUAAAUGUGUGAAAUGUCAUGUAGGAUUGCGAGGGUGUGUACUGUGGGUGGAUACAGAAGCAAAAUGACACUUCAUAUUUACAAAUGUCUCACAUCAAAAUCUAAAUUUGUCAUUUGUGAUUAAAGACGUGACAGAUAACACUGUGAAUGUUAAAUGAAUAUUUAAUAUAAUUUAAUAAGCCAACAAAAUAUAUGAA